GAGAAAGGAAGAGCCCAAUUCUGGUGGUGAUCAGAUAAGGGCAAAGAAUCUGGUAGAAAGGCUUCUGGAAUCAAACCUCUUGUGUACCCAGGAGCAGAAAGAGGAGAAAAGAAAGAAAUAGAUCACAGACAGCAAUCAAACCAGGUUUCCACAUCUUCUCACUCCAGCCCUGCCUCCAAAAUACCUAAAGCACAGCUGGUUCUAGGCAUAUUAUAUCCAAAGCAACGGAAGACUAGUCUCGAUCUAACUAAGCACAUUUCUUCUUCUGCAGGUUCCAGUCACACGAGAAAUUGUUCUAAUUCCCUUAGUUUCAUGAUGGAUAUGUUGACCUAAAAGGAAGAGGCUGAGGCACGAAAGAUAAUUCAGAGUUUACCUGAGCCAAAGCGAGGACAGCUGCCUGGAAGACUCAGACUCAAGGGUAUGUGUUGCCGUGUCCCGCAUGCUGCAUCUGAUGGUUCUUUGGUCAGUGUAGAGCCCACAUAGCAUGUGGCUUCAAGAGAUGCAUGGCUUCACAAUUGCAACACUCGAGGAUGUUCAUGGAUUUCUGUCUAGGGAUUGAGGAUAACUCUGGGCUCUUCCUCCAUCUGUUUCAGAAAGAACCUAAGCCUGCUAUGUUGUUUGGAUUAUUCAUACCAAAAAAUAUUUAUCUGUCACCUUAACCCGAUAACACCAUCUUGGAUGGGGAAGAGCUCCAGGUUUACAUUACCUUCUCCUCUAAGGAUUAUUACCUCCUGUCAUUCAGCGUUCAGAUUCGUGAAAACGAACUGUUAAGUAAGCCUGGCUUUGCACAUUUUUCAUCCAUCUGUUUUCUCCCCUCAAUAUUCCAGUAAGAGAAAUUGUGAAAAGGGUAUAAACAGAAUGACAGAGAGAAAUCUUUUUAACACCUGGUAUGCCUUCAGAGGCAGGGCAGCCUUCCCGGCCCUCCUGCUCUGGGAGCUAGCUUCCUGAGCCGCACGCUCUCCUUUCUCUCGUUCAAGGUGCUUUUCUUCCCUGUGCUGGAGAAUUUCUGUAUAUUUCUAACGAUCAGAUUUGCUUAGGGUUCUGCCGCGCCCCUGCGAGGCUCCUCCUAGCCGGAUCCCCAGCGCAUCAUCUCCAGGCACCUCUCCUAGCUCCCAACUCGCACCCCUGAGGGCACCUUCCAAAUAGAUGGUUAGUUCCUUCAUCUUUGCCUUGGACCGAGCUAAUUAGUGAAAUUUUAUAGAAAUGUUUGACUCAUUGGCAAUUUAUAAUGCAGGUUGUCAGACAAGUUAUUAAAACAACUGUGAUAAUCGUCUUUAAUCCAUCAAACCAGCAAGACAUUUUUUUCCCUUAAAUUAUCGAACCCCUUGUAAUCCCAGCUACUCAGGAGGCUGAGGCAAGAGAACUGCUUGAACCCAGGACGUGGAGGUUGUAGUGAGCCGAGAUAGCACCAUUGCACUCCAGCCUGGGUAACAAGAGUGAAACUCCGUCUCAAAAAAAAAAAUUAUUGAACCCUUAAAGAAAUAAUUAAAAUAAAAGAGAUCCUUUAUAUGCAUGCCCGGUAAUAGUGAAAUUUAUUUCAAUUUUACUGGAAAAUAAGUUGGCAAGUUAUUUAAACAUAUUUUAAUCAUUUUAUUCCAUAAUUUUAUGUCCUAGAAAGAAUUCUAAGAAAUUCUUAUUUUAUCAUUUUUUGUGGACACACAUUGGGGGGCGAUCAUUAGAUGUUCAACAAACGGUAAUUAAGUAAAUUCUAGUUGAUGGGAAAAUUAUUGCAUUUAAAGUGCUUUCAAGAAAUUUAUAAUAACAUGAAGAAAUUCUUGUUUAUAUUAACUAAAAAUAACAGAACCAAUUGCA
rnacentral:lncRNA from 1 species